GACAGAGGGUGCAAACGUUGUUCGGAAUUACUGGGCAUAAAGAGCACGUAGGUGGUGCGCUAAGUCACGUGUGAAAUCCCCCGGCUCAACCGGGGAAUGGCGCGUGAUACUGGCGCACUCGAGGCAGGUAGGGGUGAGCGGAACUCCAGGUGGAGCGGUGAAAUGCGUAGAUAUCUGGAGGAACACCGGUGGCGAAAGCGGCUCACUGGACCUGAUCUGACACUGAGGUGCGAAAGCUAGGGUAGCAAACGGG
rnacentral:rRNA from 1 species